GGCAGAACAGCCCGGCUGGGGAAGGAGGCAGGUGCCCCAGGAAGCUCUUGAAGGUCAGGGCCGUGGCUCUUGGGCCUUGAAGUCCUCCCUGACCCGGUGACCUUGGCGGCCCCCUCGUGUGCCUUCCGGGGGCGGGGGCGGGGGGCAGCCGGCGAAGCCCCUGCCUGCCAGCCUGGCUGCUGUGAGGACAGACCCCAGGGAUGGGAGAGCAGCAGGAGCCCCCACCCGUCAGGGCGGAGACAGGGAGACUCGGCAAUGCGCCAGCGCAGGUGGCGGCGGGGCCGGGGUAGCGGCUCCGGGCCAAGGAGCGCGGACCUGGCGAAGCCUCCCAUUUAGCCCAAAGCCUGAACUCUUCCCUCCGGAGCGUCCGUCCAGUGUGUGGCCCAAAACUGCAUUUCCCAGCACAUCAAACCCGCAGCAGCACGGCCCGACCUGCAGCAGAGGCCUUCUGUGACCUGUGGGGUCCUGCGGGGCCUUCAUGACCUGUGGAGUCCUGCGGAGCCUUCCGUGACCCGGGGGAUCUUGCAGGGCCUUCGUGACCUGUGGGGUCCUGCGGGGCCUUCCAUGACCUGUGGUGUCCUGCGGAGCCUUCCGUGACCCGGGGGAUCUUGCAGGGCCUUCGUGACCUGUGGGGUCCUGCGGGGCCUUCAUGACCUGUGGAGUCCUGCGGGCCUUCCGUGACCUGUGGGGUCCUGCAGGGCCGUGCCCCACUCAAAGCACCAGCCCACAGGAUCCGUGCCAGAGGGUCCGACAGCUGGAAAUGGAAACAGAUGGGUGCAGAGAGCCUGAAGGGGAGGACACGUGAUGGAGCCUGUUCUGAAAUCGGAGUGUGGAGAAGCCAGGAGCAGUAAGAGGUCACGUUCUCACAGCAAAGCAGCGGGGCUGAAGUGCCACACGUUACCUUUAAGAUGUUUCCUCUGCAAGUCACGGGAUCCACUGAGAGCCCUAGCGGUUAAGAAUUCCUUUAGGCCCUUGACUAGUCAACUACGUGUAUGUGUGGCAUGGGUGUGGCACACCGAACUCCAGACACUGAGUUUCCAGGAAAAAAAAUAAAAUUGUCUGAAAUGUGAUAAAGCACGUAAUAUCAGCUCUGUACCUUCUCUCUCCCUUUCAUCCACCUGAUUUAUUGAAUCCCUUAUUUAUUGAACACUUGUAAUCAACCAGACACUGGACUGGAGAGUGAGGAUGUGAUAGAGAAUAAGACACAUUUCCUGACCCCAAAGGGUUCACCACCUAGUGUGGGUACACU